rnacentral:rRNA from 1 species
UACGAAGGGGGGCGAGCGUUGUUCGGAAUCACUGGGCGUAAAGGGCGCGUAGGCGGCCCUCUUAGUCGCGUGUGAAAGCCCCGGGCUCAACCUGGGAACGGCGCGCGAAACGGGAGGGCUGGAGUUCGGGAGAGGAGAGUGGAAUUCCCAGUGUAGAGGUGAAAUUCGUAGAUAUUGGGAAGAACACCGAUGGCGAAGGCAGGUCUCUGGGCCGAUACUGACGCUGAGGAGCGAAAAGCGUGGG